AUGUGCGUGCGUGCUGGUCUGGUCGUCCUUGGCGUAGCUGUAGGCGUCGGGGCACUUGCCCUUGAAGAACCUCGAGUAGUUCGUCGGCGGGCAGUUGUGCUCGAACUGGCCACGGCAGCAGUACGUGUCGCCGCCGAACUUGCCGCACGCGCUCGCGCACCCUCCGGGCACCUUCAGCUCUGGCAGGCAUUCCCUGGUGAUGUCCACGGCGCAGGUCGCCGCACGGCACGGCGCGCCGCCGACGGGCUGGAAGCUCAUGGGCGUAUUGAAGCCGUCGAUGACGGACAGGUCGAAGAAGUCCCGGCUCCCGCCCCGCCCCAGCGUGUACUCGGCCAGCGUGGUGGGCUGCUGGCCGGACACGCUGCAAGCCAGCGCGCCGCCGCAGUCGCCCGUGAUGCACCGGCCCCGGCCGCUGCCGUCGAAGGUGCAACCCGUGCGCGGCCACACCCUGGCGCCCGCGGUGCCGGCGGGCAUGUUGAGCUGCCACGACUGGCCCGGGUCGAGACGCGCGCCGCCGCCUGGGAGCGCGCCCGGCCAUAUCGUGUAGGAGCACCGGUUCACCACGGUUAUGGUGGUCGCCUCGGCCGCGGCGACGACGGCAAGGACGAGGGCGAUGAGGUGGAGGAUGCGAGAGGACGUCAUGGCUGCUGCCGUUGUUGUUUACGUGAUGCGGCGAUUCUGAAUGGUUGGUUUGGUGGUGUGGCAAUGGAGGUAUUUAUUGCCGCGCGUCCACAGGCUGCUAUAUGCUGGUUUGGUGGCGUGUCCAAAUCCAUGCCAGCUAGCCUGCCUAGACAUUUUCCACGGCGGCGUCUGCAUCAUGACGCAAUUAAUAUGAUUACAAUGUAA
rnacentral:rRNA from 1 species